rnacentral:rRNA from 1 species
AGCGAACGCUGGCGGCAGGCUUAACACAUGCAAGUCGAGCGGGCAUCUUCGGAUGUCAGCGGCAGACGGGUGAGUAACACGUGGGAACGUACCCUUCGGUUCGGAACAACUCUGGGAAACUGGAGCUAAUACCGGAUACGCCCUUAUGGGGAAAGGUUUACUGCCGAAGGAUCGGCCCGCGUCUGAUUAGCUAGUUGGUGGGGUAACGGCCUACCAAGGCGACGAUCAGUAGCUGGUCUGAGAGGAUGAUCAGCCACACUGGGACUGAGACACGGCCAAGACUCCUACGGGAGGCAGCAGUGGGGAAUAUUGGACAAUGGGCGCAAGCCUGAUCCAGCCAUGCCGCGUGAGUGAUGAAGGCCUUAGGGUUGUAAAGCUCUUUUGUCCGGGACGAUAAUGACGGUACCGGAAGAAUAAGCCCCGGCUAACUUCGU